rnacentral:rRNA from 1 species
AAUUUAUUCUUAAAAAUAUCUUUUUAUAAUAAAUAAAUUAUUUAAAAUAAUAAUAAAAAAAAAAAUUUUUAUUAAAAAAUUGAAAAAAAUUGUAAUUUUAUAGAAAAUUAGUAUAGUAAUAGAUUGAUGAAAUAAAUGAAAAUUUAAUUUUUUAUAAGUAAAUUUAAUUAAUUGUAUCUUGGGUAUCAGAGAUUAUUUAAAAAUUUUUUAAUAUAAAAAAUUUUCGAAAAUUAAAGAGUUAAUUAAUUAUUUUAGUUAUUGUUAUAUAAAUAUUAAUUAUAAUUAUUUAGAAAUAAAAUGUUAAUCGAUUUAAUUGAUAUCUAAUUAUUAAAGAAAUAAAUUUAAUUUAUGUAUAUUUGUAAUAAUUUAAGUUUUUUAAUUAAUUAAUUUUAUUUAGUAUAUUUAUAUCAAUUGGGAUAAGCUUUUUGUUAAAAAUUUAAAUAAUAUUUCAAAGAAUAAAUUUAAAAAAUAUAAAAAUAAAAUUAUUUAUUAAUUAUAUUUUAUUAUAAAAAAUUUUAAUUAUAAUAAUUAUUUAAUAUAUAAAAUUAUUAAUAAAUAAUUUAUUUAAUUUAUGUGUUUGAAUAAUUUAAAUACAUUAAUAAUGAUAAUAUUAGUAUAUGAAAUAGCUUAAUAGAUUUAAUAAAUUUAAAAGCAUAUUUACAUUAUUUUUAAGAAUUCGGCAAAUUUUAUAUUCGCUUGUUUAACAAAAACAUGUCUUUUUGAUAAAUAAUUUAAAGUCUAAUCUGCCCCCUGAAAAUAUUUUAAAGGGCUGCAGUAUUUUAACUGUACAAAGGUAGCAUAAUAAAUAGGUUUUUAAUUGAAAUCUUGAAUGAAUGAUUGGACGAAAUAUAAUCUGUUUUAUGAUAAUUUAAUAAAAUUUAAUUUUUCAGUUAAAAAGCUGAAAUUAAAUUAAAAGACGAGAAGACCCUAUAAAUCUUUAUAUUAAAAUUAAUUAAAUAAAUUAUUUUUUAAUUUAUAUUUAUUAAAUUAAUUAAAUAUUUUAUUGGGGCGAUAUAAAAAUUUAUAAAACUUUUUAUUAGAUAUAUACUUUAAUUAAAGAUUUUAUUUUUUGAUCUAUUAUUAAUAAUUUAAAGAAAAAGAUACUUUAGGGAUAACAGCGUAAUUUUAAUUUUAAGUUCAAAUUAAAAUUAAAGAUUGCGACCUCGAUGUUGGAUUAAAAUUUAAUUUAAAUGCAAAAGUUUAAAAAUUAAGUCUGUUCGACUUUUAAAAUUUUACAUGAUCUGAGUUCAAACCGGUGUGAGCCAGGUUGGUUUCUAUCUUUAAUAAAAAAAAAUUUUUUAGUACGAAAGGAUCAGAAAUUUUAAAUUAAUUUAAUUAAAAAACAAUGAGAUAAAUUAAUUCUUUAUAAU